rnacentral:tRNA from 1 species
GCGCCGGUAGCUCAGUGGAUAGAGCGUCGGCCUGCGGAGCCGAAGGUCCCGCGUUCGAAUCGCGGCCGGCGCGCCA